rnacentral:rRNA from 1 species
GUGGGGAAUAUUGGACAAUGGGCGCAAGCCUGAUCCAGCCAUACCGCGUGGGUGAAGAAGGCCUUCGGGUUGUAAAGCCCUUUUGUUGGGAAAGAAAUCCUGUCGGUUAAUACCUGGCGGGGAUGACGGUACCCAAAGAAUAAGCACCGGCUAACUUCGUGCCAGCAGCCGCGGUAAUACGAAGGGUGCAAGCGUUACUCGGAAUUACUGGGCGUAAAGCGUGCGUAGGUGGUGGUUUAAGUCCGUUGUGAAAGCCCUGGGCUCAACCUGGGAAUUGCAGUGGAUCCUGGAUCACUAGAGUGUGGUAGAGGGAUGCGGAAUUUCUGGUGUAGCAGUGAAAUGCGUAGAGAUCAGAAGGAACAUCCGUGGCGAAGGCGGCAUCCUGGGCCAACACUGACACUGAGGCACGAAAGCGUGGGGAGCAAACAGGAUUAGAUACCCCAGUAGUCC